GCAUGUAGGUCUGGCGUGGAUCUGGGCUUUGUCAAAUUAUCUGAUGUCCUAGUGCAGGUUUCUACCAAGUAGAAACUGGAGGUCCCUAUUGCUGUGCAGCUGAGUCAGGAAAAGGUCACCUCUGGCUUAUGUGUGAAUAGGGAGGGAACAGAUGGGAGAGUGGGACGUGUUCAGGGAAAGACUCAUGGGGUAGGAAUUGCCAAUGAAUAACAGCAAGGGUAAUUUGGUUUUGAGGUCAGUAAGAGGACUCCCUCUUUAAGGUGAGGUAACAACCUCAGAAAGGUUAGACAGCUGCUUAGUGGAACUCAGCCUUGAACCUGAGGCUGCCGACCUCCAAAGCUGCAAGCACUUGAUUGAAACCAUGCUUGAGAUGGGCAGAUGCCCGUCAAAUGCCAAGCUCCAUACAUCAUCAGGUAUGGCCCUGGCCCUUGCUCCCUGGAGCAUCUCUAUGCUGCUGACAGGCCCUGGGACCUUCCCUCCCCUGACUGGGGAUACAGGAAGGUGGGGUCAUCUUCCUGGUACAGGUGAGAAAGCUGGGAACAUGCCUGCUUCAGAGCUACCCAGAGCCGCGCAUUUUCACGGAUGGCAUGAGACACUGAGGACCCCUGCUGGGAGGAUGGAGUAAUGCAGCCACAGCUGCCUUGUCCCCAGAUGUGGAGAGGAGCCAGCUUCACCAGGGCCUAAGCACCCAGCUCUGCCACAGCUACUUAGCCCACGUGAUCUCAUUUGGUCCCAGAGUCUCUCUGCAGGCCUCCUGAGACGCCCAGCUGGCUGCUGAGAAAAUACCAGAAGUGAGCAGCCGCGCCCCAGAACCAGCCUGACCCCGGGCUUCUCCUUCUCAAGCGUGUACUUGGGCCUUUCUCUAAAACCCUCUGGCUCUGGAACUGACCCCCUCAUGCGUGACCAGGAGCCCACCUUCUAGAGAGACCACGUCGCCCUUCGUCAGUGGGUCAGACCUCUGACCUCGCCCUCCUGCCACUGAUGGUGACCGCGGACACUCUUGGACUGUAGAUUUUAUUUAGUGUUCCUGUUUUCUGUUGGAAAAAAUACUCCCAUGCUUGGAAAGCAGCAGAAGAGCACUGGGUUGUACCCACCCCUUCUUCCAAAUCAGGGCAACUGUCUCAUCUCUGUAGGUUGUUGUUGUUAUUAUUAUUAGAAAUCAUGUAGAGAUGGAUUCGUU